AGCUGAUCAUUGGGUGUAAAGCGUGCGCAGGCGGUUUUGUAAGACAGAGGUGAAAUCCCCGGGCUCAACCUGGGAACUGCCUUUGUGACUGCAAGGCUGGAGUGCGGCAGAGGGGGGAUGGAAUUCCGCGUGUAGCAGUGAAAUGCGUAGAUAUGCGGAGGAACACCGAUGGCGAAGGCAAUCCCCUGGGCCUGCACUGACGCUCAUGCACGAAAGCGUGGGGAGCAAACA
rnacentral:rRNA from 1 species